rnacentral:ncRNA from 2 species
CGACGAAAUAGAGGUCGCGGGGACGACCACAGCUAGACGAGUAGCGGAUACGAUGACUCUAGUUGAAAGCAACCCCGCCGAAACGACAGUUGCUCCGCAGCAACUGUCGUUGGGCCGGUCGACGAAAGUCGCCGGACUGUCUUGCCACUGGCAAGGAGCGCUAUGAUUGUU